rnacentral:lncRNA from 1 species
CUCCCUGCCCAUAGUAUUUCCCUCUGGGAUGUAAUGAACAGGACAAGGACAGGGAUCAUGGGUCUUUCCUGAGCUACAGGUUCCUUGCCCAAGUAUCUCUGCUCAGACUCCUCAUGUGGAGAGUGACCCACUCCCCCCUCUUCUCCUCUAUUGCAGGUGAUUAAUGGAAUCAUCACGUUUGUUACUACAAUUUUAUUUGGUGCUCCAGGACUCGUCUUCAGGGCAGUGGCCAGAGCACUGCGGAACAAUUAAUAAAUCUAAGGCGUUAUGUUGGCGGCACCAGUUAACUCUGGGGGAUUUGAGCAAGCUGGUUUACAGAUUUCACUCUCUUUUGAAAUCAUCAGCACUUGGUUUAGUAAAGCCGAAUCAAAGCACAGGAAGCCUUUAUCUGAGGGAAGUGCUGCUAGCACAAAUUCUAUUAAAGACGAGAUUGCACAAUAUCAUGGUCUCAAUGUUUGUGUCCCCUCCCACCACAAAUGCACAU